AGAGUGAACGCUGGCGGUAGGCCUAACACAUGCAAGUCGAACGGCAGCACAGGAGAGCUUGCUCUCUGGGUGGCGAGUGGCGGACGGGUGAGGAAUACAUCGGAAUCUACCUUUUCGUGGGGGAUAACGUAGGGAAACUUACGCUAAUACCGCAUACGACCUACGGGUGAAAGCGGAGGACCUUCGGGCUUCGCGCAGAUAGAUGAGCCGACGUCGGAUUAGCUAGUUGGCGGGGUAAAGGCCCACCAAGGCGACGAUCCGUAGCUGGUCUGAGAGGAUGAUCAGCCACACCGGAACUGACGACACGGUCCAGACUCCGUACGGGAGGCAGCAGUGGGGAAUAGUUAGGACAAGUGGGCGCAAAGCCGUAGAC
rnacentral:rRNA from 1 species